AACACGUGGGGAACCGUGCCCCACUAGUCUGGGAUACCACUUGGAAACAGGUGCUAAUACCGGAUAAGAAAGCGGAUCGCAUGAUCAGCUUUUAAAAGGCGGCGUAAGCUGUCGCUAUGGGAUGGCCCCGCGGUGCAUUAGCUAGUUGGUAAGGUAAAGGCUUACCAAGGCGAUGAUGCAUAGCCGAGUUGAGAGACUGAUCGGCCACAUUGGGACUGAGACACGGCCCAAACUCCUACGGGAGGCAGCAGUA
rnacentral:rRNA from 1 species